rnacentral:rRNA from 1 species
UACAGAGGUCUCAAGCGUUGUUCGGAUUCAUUGGGCGUAAAGGGUGCGUAGGCGGCGCGGUAAGUCGGGUGUGAAAUCUUGGAGCUUAACUCCGAAACUGCAUUCGAUACUGCCGUGCUUGAGGACUGGAGAGGAGACUGGAAUUUACGGUGUAGCGGUGAAAUGCGUAGAUAUCUGGAGGAACACCGGUGGCGAAGGCGGCAUCCUGGACCAACACUGACACUGAGGAGCGAAAGCCAGGGGAGCAAACGGG